UUAUCUACUCCCACAGUCACCCCUCCCAGUGUCCAGCCUGUGUCUCCCCCAGCAAUUGUGUCUACCAGUCUGGCUGCUGACCUGGAGGGCCUGACACUCACAGACUCCACCCUGGUACCGUCGCUUCUGAGUCCAGUGUCGGGUAUUGGGCGGCAGGAGCUGCUGCACCGGGUAGCUGGCGAGGGGCUGGCUGUGGACUACACCUUCAGCCGCCAACCUUUCUCCGGGGACCCCCACAUGGUGUCUGUGCACAUCCACUUCUCCAACAGCUCUGAUACCCCCAUCAAGGGCCUGCAUGUGGGCACUCCCAAACUGCCUGCUGGCAUCAGCAUCCAAGAAUUUCCCGAAAUUGGUGCGAAGGGCUUUGGAAGGGGUGGAGGAGGAGGCUCCUGGGCAGAGUCAGUCUUUCUGUGGUUGCUGAUACCCUCCUUGUGCCAGGCCAGGGGCCAAGCUGUAGGGGCACAGAGAUAGCAUCUAACAUGAUCAACACUCUGGUGGACAAGACAGAUUAUGAAAUAAGCAAGUUCACAUCAGGGCGGGAGGUGCUUGCAGCAGCAGAUUUGGGCCUUGGUUGUUU
rnacentral:sRNA from 1 species